rnacentral:lncRNA from 1 species
UAUAUUUCAAAUCAGUUAUUACCACCGGUAAAUGUGAUUUUUUUAGCCUUGGAAAUGUGGGGUUUUUUAUUAAAUAGGUAAACAUAAUAGCCCACAUCCUGAUUUACAGGAGGGGUAUGAAUAAAACCCACAGAAGUCAAUUGCACUGGUUGUGUUUCUGAUCAAGCUAAUAUGCUUCCUGAUGUGCUCAUCCUUUUCUGCAAACACAGACUCUGUAGCCUGCCCAGAGUGCCUACAGCACCUUGAGCUGGGUUUCCUUUCUGCCAGAUCAUGGGCCUCCUGAGACCCUCAGAGCCACCACAGUGAGGGACCACAAGUCCAGAGCUCCCAGACCACUGAUACAUUUCUUUCUAAGCUUCUAACACAAUCUGUGCACCUAAAGGCUCAAGAGAAAUUUAUGUUUUCUAUAAAGACAUUGGGAAAUUAUAGCAGAUGACCAGAAAGCUUCUUCAUAAAUAAAAUCAUAUUCAGAAAAAUUAAGUCUUGGCCAUGUUUCAUAAACUAGGCUUUGUCUUUACCUAAGCCCAAAGAAUGGCCUCAACCUAAGGUGGACUGGAGGGGUUCAAGCCUGUUUCAGGGCCCAUGUGCAUGCUUGUGAGGCCGGGUCCUAGGAGGUGUGGGAGGGAUGCACAUGAGAAAUGCACAGAAAGUAUAGAUCAACCGGCCACAGCCCAGUGAGGCCCUCACCUACUGCCUGCCUGCGCCUUGAUGCAGCCUUGAAGGACCUUCUUCAAAGGGCUUUUAUGGAUCCUCCAC